AGAGUUUGAUCCUGGCUCAGGAUGAACGCUAGCGGCAGGCCUAAUACAUGCAAGUCGAACGGUAAAUAUUUAGCAAUAAAUAUGAGAGUGACGUACGGGUGCGUAACACGUAUGCAACCUACCCUUUACAGGCGGAUAGCUCGGGGAAACUCGAAUUAACCCGCCGUAAUAUAAUUGGAUGGCAUCAUCUGGUUAUUAAAUCUACGGAGGUAAAGGAUGGGCAUGCGUCUGAUUAGUUAGUUGGCGGGGUAACGGCCCACCAAGACGAUGAUCAGUAGGGGAACUGAGAGGUUGAUCCCCCACACUGGCACUGAGAUACGGGCCAGACUCCUACGGGAGGCAGCAGUAGGGAAUAUUGGUCAAUGGAUGGAAGUCUGAACCAGCCAUGCCGCGUGCAGGAAGAAGGCCUUCUGGGUUGUAAACUGCUUUUGCCAGGGGAUAAAAUGACCUUGCGAGGUUAAUUGAAGGUACCUGGUGAAUAAGCCACGGCUAACUACGUGCCAGCAGCCGCGGUAAUACGUAGGUGGCAAGCGUUGUCCGGAUUUAUUGGGUUUAAAGGGUGCGUAGGCGGCUUAUUAAGUCAGUGGUGAAAUACUCUAGCUCAACUAGAGGGGUGCCAUUGAUACUGAUGAGCUUGAGUACAGAUGAGGUAGGCGGAAUUGACGGUGUAGCGGUGAAAUACUUAGAUAUCGUCAAGAACACCUAUAGCGAAGGCAGCUUACUAGGCUGUAACUGACGCUGAGGCACGAAAGUGUGGGGAUCAAACAGGAUUAGAUACCCUGGUAGUCCACACUGUAAACGUUGAUUACUCGCUGUGUGCGAUAUACAGUACGCGGCCAAGCGAAAGCGAUAAGUAAUCCACCUGGGGAGUACGCCGGCAACGGUGAAACUCAAAGGAAUUGACGGCUCCGCACAAGCGGUGGAGCAUGUGGUUUAAUUCGAUGAUACGCGAGGAACCUUACCUGGACUAGAAUGCCCUUGACCGAUCCAGAGAUGGAUUUUUCCGCAAGGACAAGGAGCAAGGUGCUGCAUGGCCGUCGUCAGCUCGUGCCGUGAGGUGUUGGGUUAAGUCCCGCAACGAGCGCAACCCCUAUUUUUAGUUGCCAACAGGUUAAGCUGGGGACUCUAAAAAGACUGCCCGCGCAAGCGGAGAGGAAGGAGGGGACGACGUCAGGUCAUCAUGGCCCUUACGUCCAGGGCUACACACGUGCUACAAUGGCGUAUACAGAGUGUUGCAAACCAGCGAUGGUAAGCCAAUCACAAAAAGUACGUCUCAGUUCGGAUUGCAGGCUGCAACUCGCCUGCAUGAAGUUGAAAUCGCUAGUAAUCGCGCAUCAGCAAUGGCGCGGUGAAUACGUUCCCGGACCUUGUACACACCGCCCGUCAAGCCAUGAGAGUCGGGAGGACCUGAAGGCAGUUGCUGUAAGGCGCUGUUUAGGGUUAAACCGAUGAUUAGGGCUAAGUCGUAACAAGGUA
rnacentral:rRNA from 1 species